rnacentral:rRNA from 1 species
GGAUGAACCAAACGCAGAGUUAAGGCGCCUGAUUCGACGCUCAUCUGAAACCAUGAAAGGCGUUGGUUGCUUAAGACAGCAGGACGGUGGCCAUGGAAGUCGGAAUCCGCUAAGGAGUGUGUAACAACUCACCUGCCGAAGCAACUAGCCCUGAAAAUGGAUGGCGCUGUAGCGUCGUGCCUAUACUCUGCCGUCAACGGCAAAGCGGGCGGCCCUUUACGGGGCGUCGCCGUUAAGCCUUGACGAGUAGGAGGGUCGCGGCGGUGUGCGCGGAAGGGUCUGGGCGUGAGCCCGCCUGGAGCCGCCGCCGGUGCAGAUCUUGGUGGUAGUAGCAAAUACUCCAGCGAGGCCCUGGAGGACUGAUGUGGAGAAGGGUUUCUUGUGAACAGCUGUUGCACAAGAGUCAGUCGAUCCUAAGCCCUAGGAGAAAUCCGAAGCGAUGGUCUGCCGUUAAGUUCUCUAUGAAAAUAGGGAGAGGAGGGAGUAGCGAGCGCCCCUUAAAAACGGGCGUUCGUCUCCCUCUUUUCUCCUUUUUUUUUCAAUCAUGAGCUGGCACCGUCUGGGCGAAAGGGAAUCCGGUUCCUAUUCCGGAACCCGGCCGCGGAACCGCUCCAAUUCGGGCCCUCAUCCGAGGACUCGUCGGGGUGACCCGAAAUGACCCGGAGAAGCCGUAGGGAGGUCCGGGGAGAGUUGUCUCUUCUCUAUAAGCGUUCGAGUUCCCUGGAAGCCUCUAGGAGGGAGAUAGGGUUUGGAACGCGAAGAGCACCGCACUUACGGCGGUGUCCGGAUCUUCCCCUCGGACCUUGAAAAUCCGGGCGAGGGCCACGAGGAACACCGCGCCGGCUCGUACCCAUAUCCGCAGCAGGUCUCCAAGGUGAAUAGCCUCUAGUCGAUAGAAUAAUGUAGGUAAGGGAAGUCGGCAAACCCGAUCUGUAACUUCGGGAUAAGGAUUGGCUCUGAGGAUCGUGGCGCGCCGGGCUUGGUCGGGAAGUGGAGCGGUGCCAACGUGCCGGGCCUGGGCGAGGUGAAGGGCGCUCGUCGCCUGGACCCUAGCUCGGUCCCGUGCCUUGGCCACCCACGGACCUUCCUUGCUGCGAGCCUCCCGGCUGUCUAGUUUUCGGCUUCGCCGGAGGACGGGCCGGAAGGCUCUUCGGCCGCCAUAGAACGAUCAACUUAGAACUGGCACGGACUAGGGGAAUCCGACUGUCUAAUUAAAACAAAGCAUUGCGAUGGCCCCAAGGGGUGAUGACGCAAUGUGAUUUCUGCCCAGUGCUCUGAAUGUCAACGUGAAGAAAUUCAAGCAAGCGCGGGUAAACGGCGGGAGUAACUAUGACUCUCUUAAGGUAGCCAAAUGCCUCGUCAUCUAAUUAGUGACGCGCAUGAAUGGAUUAACGAGAUUCCCUCUGUCCCUACCUACUAUCUAGCGAAACCACGGCCAAGGGAACGGGCUUGGAAGAAUCAGCGGGGAAAGAAGACCCUGUUGAGCUUGACUCUAUGUGUUGUACU